rnacentral:rRNA from 1 species
AGCCACAGCCAUAUCACCCUGCAGCCCAAGACUGGUUGCCCACUGAAGCUAAGCAGGGUUGAGUCUGGUCAGUACCUGGAUGGGAGAUCUCCUGGGAAAACUAGGUUGCUGUUGGAA